rnacentral:rRNA from 1 species
GACGAACGCUGGCGGCGUGCUUAACACAUGCAAGUCGAACGGAAAGGCCCUGCUUUUGUGGGGUGCUCGAGUGGCGAACGGGUGAGUAACACGUGAGUAACCUGCCCUUGACUUUGGGAUAACUUCAGGAAACUGGGGCUAAUACCGGAUAGGAGCUCCUGCUGCAUGGUGGGGGUUGGAAAGUUUCGACGGUUGGGGAUGGACUCGCGGCUUAUCAGCUUGUUGGUGGGGUAGUGGCUUACCAAGGCUUUGACGGGUAGCCGGCCUGAGAGGGUGACCGGCCACAUUGGGACUGAGAUACGGCCCAGACUCCUACAGGAGGCAGCAGUGGGGAAUAUUGCACAAUGGGCGGAAGCCUGAUGCAGCAACGCCGCGUGCGGGAUGACGGCCUUCGGGUUGUAAACCGCUUUCGCCUGUGACGAAGCGUGAGUGACGGUAAUGGGUAAAGAAGCACCGGCUAACUACGUG